rnacentral:rRNA from 1 species
UACGAAGGGGGCUAGCGUUGCUCGGAAUCACUGGGCGUAAAGGGUGCGUAGGCGGGUCUUUAAGUCAGGGGUGAAAUCCUGGGGCUCAACUCCAGAACUGCCUUUGAUACUGAGGAUCUUGAGUACGGGAGAGGUGAGUGGAACUGCGAGUGUAGAGGUGAAAUUCGUAGAUAUUCGCAAGAACACCAGUGGCGAAGGCGGCUCACUGGCCCGUAACUGACGCUGAGGCACGAAAGCGUGGGGAGCAAACAGG